UACGGGGGGAGCAAGCGUUGUUCGGAUUUACUGGGCGUAAAGGGCGCGUAGGCGGCGCAACAAGUCACUUGUGAAAUCUCUGGGCUCAACCCAGAGCGGCCAAGUGAUACUGUCGUGCUAGAGUGCGGAAGGGGCAACUGGAAUUCUCGGUGUAGCGGUGAAAUGCGUAGAUAUCGAGAGGAACACCUGCGGCGAAGGCGGGUUGCUGGGCCGACACUGACGCUGAGGCGCGAAAGCUAGGGGAGCGAACGGG
rnacentral:rRNA from 1 species